GCUAGAAUGCGCAGCGUUGGUGCUCGCGACGUGGUUCAAACGCCGCAGUUCAACGGGAAGCAGGAGGGUAAGCUGGCCAACAGCGAACUUAACCUGCGCUGCCCCCGCAACGGUAAGUGGACGAACCGCAAGGUUCCGCUUUCAUCCAGGCCACUGAGUGUCUUGUAAAGACAUUUGGGAAGGCGAUGAAGGUUGACUCCACCAGCCCGGAUACCGGCCAACACGGUGGCUGUGCGC
rnacentral:ncRNA from 22 species